rnacentral:rRNA from 1 species
UGCAACUCGACUCCAUGAAGUCGGAAUCGCUAGUAAUCGUGGAUCAGAAUGCCACGGUGAAUACGUUCCCGGGCCUUGUACACACCGCCCGUCACACCAUGGGAGUGGGUUGCAAAAGAAGUAGGUAGCUUAACCUUCGGGAGGGCGCUUACCACUUUGUGAUUCAUGACUGGGGUGAAGUCGUAACAAGGUAACCGUAGGGGAACCUGCGGUUGGAUCACCUCCUUA